rnacentral:rRNA from 1 species
GACGAACGCUGGCGGCGUGCUUAACACAUGCAAGUCGAACGCUGAAGACCUGGCUUUUGUUGGGUUGGAUGAGUGGCGAACGGGUGAGUAACACGUGAGUAACCUGCCCUCUUCUUUGGGAUAACGCCCGGAAACGGGUGCUAAUACUGGAUAUUCACUGGCCUUCGCAUGGGGGUUGGUGGAAAGGUUUGUUCUGGUGGGGGAUGGGCUCGCGGCCUAUCAGCUUGUUGGUGGGGUGAUGGCCUACCAAGGCUUUGACGGGUAGCCGGCCUGAGAGGGUGACCGGUCACAUUGGGACUGAGAUACGGCCCAGACUCCUACGGGAGGCAGCAGUGGGGAAUAGUGCACGAUGGGCGAAAGCCUGAUGCAGCGACGCCGCGUGAGGGAUGGAGGCCUUCGGGUUGUAAACCUCUUUCGCUCAUGGUCAAGCCGCAACUGUGGGUUGUGGUGAGGGUAGUGGGUAAAGAAGCGCCGGCUAACUACGUG